GCAGAAUUGUAUUCCUACUAAAAAAAAUGGAACUCCAAAGGUAGCUCGUGGGAAGCCACAUCGACGAAUUGAGAAGCUAGAUAAUUGACACAAGUUGUGCGAUAGAUGGAAAACUCCUGAAUGGAAGGAAAAAUCAGAGAUAAACAAAAGGAGUAGGUCAAAGGUCACUUACAAUCAUCGGGUCGRGUCUAAAACAUUCRAUCAUAUGCAAUAAAAACUGAAAGACAAGCUUAGCAUGGAGAUCGGUCUCAUCCAAAUGUUUAAAGAGAUGAGAUAUAAUCCUGAAAAAUGAUGGGUAAACCCCCAUGCCGAAACAACACAUAAAGUGUUAGAGGACGUGAGGGAUGCACCUGUACCAGAAAGGACUGAUCUGCCGAUAGAAGCAGAUUGUUGUCGGACUGUAUUCGAUCCUCGAUCCAAAUUCGUCGUAAGCAUGGGGUUGGGCCCAACACCAGGAGCGAGAAGAGGAAGCUCAUCCAACGAUCCAACAGUCAUGGAGGAACUAAAUCAKACAAAAGAAGAAUUAAAGGUGACUAAAGACAAAUUGAAGGAGACUAAAGAACGAUUGGACAAUACCGAAGAUCGCUUAAGCCAAAYUGAAGAAGCUUUAGCCAGCAAUCUACGAGACUUCAGUAACUUCAAAAACUACUUCRAAAGUUUCAUGAGUCAAUCCUCAGGUAGAUCAUGGCCCUUUGUCUGGAUAGAUAUAAAACYUCUACUUAGGUUUUUGUAGCUUUUGAAACAUAUUAAACGUGUAAAUUCAAGAACUUUUGAAACAUGUGAAUCUGGAUGAUAUAUUGG